GAUGAACGCUGGCGGCGUGCCUAAUACAUGCAAGUCGAGCGAACAGAUGAGGAGCUUGCUCCUCUGACGUUAGCGGCGGACGGGUGAGUAACACGUGGAUAACCUACCUAUAAGACUGGGAUAACUUCGGGAAACCGGAGCUAAUACCGGAUAAUAUAUUGAUCCGCAUGGUUCAAUUGUGAAAGACUGUUUUUCUGUCACUUAUAGAUGUAUCCGCGCCGCAUUAGCUAGUUGGUAAGGUAACGGCUUACCAAGGCAACGAUGCGUAGCCGACCUGAGAGGGUGAUCGGCCACACUGGAACUGAGACACGGUCCAGACUCCUACGGGAGGCAGCAGUAGGGAAUCUUCCGCAAUGGGCGAAAGCUUGACGGAGCAACGCCGCGUGAGUGAUGAAGGUCUUCGGAUCGUAAAACUCUGUUAUUAGGGAAGAACAAAUGUGUAAGUAACUAUGCACGUCUUGACGGUACCUAAUCAGAAAGCCACGGCUAACUACGUG
rnacentral:rRNA from 1 species